GACUGAAGAUCCAUGUUCAGUUACCUGAAUAUAGGUGCUUGGACUAAACCAUUUCUCAUAUAACAGAACCAAACAAAUCAAUUAUUUAAACUAGACCUUAUUUUACCAAAUAAUCAUAAUCACAGUGUAUCAAUGUCUUACCAUAACCUCUGUGGCAAUGUUUAUAUAAUAUAACAGAACAUCUGUACAGUAUUUACACUUUCCAAAUUUUCCCGGAAAAUCCCCCUAUUGCUGCAUGCGAGAUGGUAUGCGCCACGCUACGGAAACCCGGAAAUAGUCCUCGCGCACCUUUCUCCGGUUUUGUUCGGACGUCCCGCAAAAUGGCUGCAAGACGACUAUUCAAUUCCAGUCCCUGAAUUAUGUUCUCCGUUUUUUUCCCACACAACACCACCAUUUUUAUAUUUAUAAUAAAGUUUCUUUAAAGCA